rnacentral:rRNA from 1 species
AUGUCGUCGCUGGUCUCUCCCCUCCACGGAUUAGUGGACGCCAACCAGUGGGACGGCGAGCGCCUCCUGGGUCGUCUAGUGAUCGUGCUCCACGCCGCCUUCCUCGAGUCGGGCUUCAUCGUGGCCCGCCGCCACAGCGGGGAUCCGUCGUAUACCUGCCGGCUUCCUACAGAGGUGGGCGCGACGGCCUCGACCCUCACCCUGGAGUACACCGCGCCGCAGCUGCUGCCGCGGCACGACAUGGACGGCGCCGCGCUGAGGAUGUGCACCAACGGGCGGCAUGUCAUCUUCUACCUGCAGCUGCAGGUCUGCUCUGUCCGGAUCCGCACGUACUGGGUCUGCCUGGACGCGCUCUCCCUCGCGCCGCUCUUGUCCGGCGGUCUGGACGACACGGGGCGCAAGCUGCUGCGGAGCGACGGCUCCCGGACGGCCACGCUCUGGAGGUCGGUCACCGGCGGGUUCUGCCGUCGCAUCCUGUCAGACAUAUGCCGCGAGCACGGCGUGGUGCCGGGGCGGGCGCCGCGCGCCCCCACCCUCACGUCCCUCCCAGGCGACGCCAUGGUGGCGAUCGUGGAGAGGCUCGCCGACGGGAAGGACCUAGCGAGCGUGGAGAGCACCUGCACCGAGCUGAGGCGCUUCGUGGCCGACCGGGACCGCCAGCUCUGGCUGCCCAGGUACAAGGCGCUGCCGGGGAACACGCUGUGGUGGUCGCUCCUCUGCGACAUCGACUCCGACGACGACCUGCCGGCGGCGAGCUGGAAGGAGAUGUUUGUGUGGGCCACGCGACAGAGGGAACACAGGCUCGUUCUGCCUACUCCUAGUCCUUUCCGCAGUUCACCGUGGUAUUCUUCCUUCAAUGGACGGGUGGAUGAUGACGUAGAAGAAGACGAUUCAUUUGAGGAGCUGCCGGUGGAUGCCGCUGCCUGCUUUGGAGAGAUGAUGACGGACACGGACACGGACACGGAGGACGACGGGGGUACGAAUACCACCGGUCGCCAUAGUAAGCCGCCGGCGACAAAAAGCCACGGGAAGCAGAAGCAACAGGGUCGUCGCACCCGCACCGUCACCGGCGCUAUCCACUCCCCGUCUUCUAGGUACCGAUGGAAGCACAGGUGA